rnacentral:lncRNA from 1 species
GGUAUUGGUUUUUUGUGCCAAUGCCUAUGAAAUGAGGUGAUUAACUUUUCUUGAAAUGGUUAUUUAGCAUGUUUAAUAUACUAAUUCCUUUACUUGAUGGAUAUAGAUUCUGAAAUAUAAAAAUCGUGGACGUUUGGUCAAACAAACACUUGUGGUUAAUUGGUUAUGGUUCCGUCACUUUCCAUUAUACAAUAUCUUGUUCCUGAAGGUAUUUUCCAAGACUAAAGGUUUAUGAUUAGAACAAGUGUUGCACUUCAGUUAGACCUUCUUUCUUGCUUAAUUCUAUUAUGUAAGAUUUGUGUUGUGGUACAAGGCAGUUCUGAAGUGAAAUCCAUUCAUUAUUUGUUGCGGUUUAUAAGUUGUCUUUCAAAUGCAGUAUUCUAAGGGAAUCCGUUAAUGAAGGGACAGAGAAUUUUCUCCUCUAGUAAAAAGUAAUAGCAUUUGUUGUCUCUUUCUAGAUGACGGUAUCCUGCCGUUUCUGAUUAUGCCUUGUUCUUUUUUCUAUAUUUAUAUUUUCUUCCCCAUUUAUUUAUCUCCUCCCACUCAGAUUUUUUUUUUAUAGGUUGAGUUGAAUUUCAGUGGUAGACUUAGUUUAUGUCUUAGGGGUGUUAUAGGUCAAGAUUGAUCAUUGAGAUAAUAUGAAGGAAAACAUAUUAGUUCUUCACUGCAACUACAUUUGCAAUGGCCAUUUGUAACCUUCCCCAUUUUUUUUUCUAAACGAAAUGAAAUGUAGGAUUCUUUCGGUCUUUUCAUUUAAAAAAGCCUUUGCUUCUUUGAUGUUUCUUCACUUGCAGACAGAUUUGACAGGAAGAGAAUACUGCUGUGAUGGGGAAACUAAAUUAAUAGGUUCAAUUUUUUUAUUUUUUAUUAUUAUUUUUUUGGGGGUGUGUUUUUGGUUACUAAUGUUGGUCUUUAUGAUAAGUCUCUCUCUACAUUUCUAGACAAGGAUUUUGCAAUGCCUAACGGAUCAUAUUUUGAUCAACUUUUGCUUAUCCUUGAUUCUGUUUUAUUCUUCAUCUCAUUUGUUUUAGGAAACUUAAGAGAGCAGAGGUUAUUUAAAGUUUCCACCUUCAGGAAGUUCAUAGUUAUUUGCUCUGGUUUGGUUCAGGCUACAAUUCUUAUAUCUUAGUACUUCUUGGCAUCUGCGUUUUUACGAGUUGCUUUGUUUCUCAG